UACGAAGGGGGCUAGCGUUGCUCGGAAUGACUGGGCGUAAAGGGCGCGUAGGCGGAUUGAUUAGUUAGGCGUGAAAUUCCUGGGCUUAACCUGGGGGCUGCGCUUAAUACAGUCAGUCUUGAGUAUGGAAGAGGGUCGUGGAAUUCCCAGUGUAGAGGUGAAAUUCGUAGAUAUUGGGAAGAACACCGGUGGCGAAGGCGGCGACCUGGUCCAUUACUGACGCUGAGGCGCGAAAGCGUGGGGAG
rnacentral:rRNA from 1 species